UAAUAUUACGGAGGUGCCUGGGCUGUCGCCGUCCUCAAGGAUGUGCACGCCCGGAGUGCUCUCUCACAUCCAUCUCACCCCUUUGUGCAUCACCGCGUGGGGCCCUCUCUUUUGGCUUGUUCCGGAAGGGGGGGGUUCACGUUUUUACACGAACAACCCAUUAAUGCAUGUGUAGAAUGUCUUACUUUUUGCGGUCACACGCAAUCAAUACAACUUUCAACAACGGAUCUCUUGGCUCUCGCAUCGAUGAAGAACGCAGCGAAAUGCGAUACGUAAUGUGAAUUGCAGAAUUCAGUGAAUCAUCGAAUCUUUGAACGCACCUUGCACCCCUUGGUAUUCCGAGGGGUGCACCCGUUUGAGUGUCGUGAACACCCUCAACCUUCUUGGUUUAUCAACCGAGAAGGCUUGGACUUUGGAGGUUUUUGUUGCUGGCCUCGUUUGAAGCCAGCUCCUCCUAAAUGAAUUAGUGGGGUCCGCUGUGCCGAUCCUCGACGUGAUAAGUACGCUUCUACGUCUUGGGGUUUCGCACUGUUGCCCUGGAAUCCCGCUUCCAACCGUCUUUGAAUGAAGACAAUGUUCGAGUUGUGACUCGACCUUAUAAACCUUGACCUCAAAUCGGGUGAGACUACCCGCUGAACUUAAGCAUAUCAAUAAGCGGAGGAA
rnacentral:rRNA from 1 species